GAUGAACGCUGGCGGCGUGCCUAAUACAUGCAAGUCGAGCGAACAGACGAGGAGCUUGCUCCUCUGACGUUAGCGGCGGACGGGUGAGUAACACGUGGAUAACCUACCUAUAAGACUGGGAUAACUUCGGGAAACCGGAGCUAAUACCGGAUAAUAUAUUGAACCGCAUGGUUCAAUAGUGAAAGACGGUUUUGCUGUCACUUAUAGAUGGAUCCGCGCCGCAUUAGCUAGUUGGUAAGGUAACGGCUUACCAAGGCAACGAUGCGUAGCCGACCUGAGAGGGUGAUCGGCCACACUGGAACUGAGACACGGUCCAGGCUCCUACGGGAGGCAGCAGUAGGGAAUCUUCCGCAAUGGGCGAAAGCUUGACGGAGCAACGCCGCGUGAGUGAUGAAGGUCUUCGGAUCGUAAAACUCUGUUAUUAGGGAAGAACAAAUGUGUAAGUAACUAUGCACGUCUUGACGGUACCUAAUCAGAAAGCCACGGCUAACUACGUG
rnacentral:rRNA from 1 species